rnacentral:rRNA from 1 species
UACGGAGGGUGCGAGCGUUGUCCGGAAUCACUGGGCGUAAAGCGCGCGUAGGCGGCGAGGCAAGUUGGAUGUGAAAGCCCUGGGCUCAACCUAGGAUGUGCAUACAAAACUGCCUCGCUUGAAUCUCGGAGGGGGUCAGGGAAUUCCCGGUGUAGAGGUGAAAUUCGUAGAUAUCGGGAGGAACACCAGUGGCGAAGGCGAGUCCCUGGACAACGACUGACACUGAGGCACGAAAGCUAGGGGAGCAAACAGG